rnacentral:misc_RNA from 1 species
CUUUACUUGACAGAUCUCCGUAAGAUACCGAGGAAGCUGGUGUUACGUGUGAGUAAUUUAUUGUUAUCGAGUGAUUCAUAGGUGAUAACCGACCCGGAUCUUCCAAAUACCCAAGUGGUGUAUACCUUGAUAGCGGUGUCUACGUACAACUGGAGCCAUGAGUUCCAAUCAAAUGAGACCUGUGUCUCAUGGUAACUACCAAGGACCAGGUGACUUACCAAUGGGUUCAGCUAAAGAGCAGACCCUAAUGUGGCAGCAAAAUUCAUACAUGGGUGACUCUGGUAUCCAUUCUGGAGCCGCUACACAGGCUCCAUCAUUGUCAGGAAAAGAUGACGAUGAAAUGGAAGGAGAUCAACUGAUGUUCGACUUGGAUCAAGGGUAUCCUCAGGGAUUUACUCAAGACCAAGUUGAUGAAAUGAAUUCACAACUGAGCCAUACACGUUCACAACGUGUACGCGCAGCGAUGUUCCCGGAGACAUUGGAAGAAGGUAUUGAAAUUCCAUCGACUCAAUUCGACCCGGCUCAGCCGACAGCAGUUCAGCGCUUAGCCGAGCCGAGUCAGAUGCUGAAGCACGCGGUUGUCAACUUGAUAAACUACCAAGACGACGCGGACUUGGCAACUCGAGCCAUUCCGGAACUGAUAAAGCUCCUUAACGAUGAAGAUCAAGUGAUCGUAUCUCACGCAGCCAUGAUGGUCCAUCAGCUAUCAAAGAAGGAGGCUGCUCGGCACGCCAUCAUGAACAGCUCUCAGAUGGUCGCGGCUUUGGUUCGCGCUAUCUCCAACAGCGACGACCUGGAGUCGACAAAAGCUGCCGUGGGUACUCUACACAAUUUGUCUCACCACAGACAGGGUCUGCUGGCUAUCUUUAAGAGCGGUGGAAUCCCAGCUCUCGUUAAGCUGCUCAGCUCUGGUGUCGAGUCUGUUCUAUUCUACGCCAUUACAACUCUCCACAACCUUCUGCUCCACCAGGACGGCUCCAAAAUGGCAGUACGUCUGGCUGGUGGACUCCAAAAAAUGGUCGCGUUACUUCAGCGUAAUAACGUCAAAUUUCUGGCAAUCGUCACCGACUGUCUCCAAAUUCUUGCUUACGGUAACCAGGAAAGUAAACUUAUUAUUCUCGCUUCACAAGGGCCAAUUGAGCUUGUACGUAUUAUGCGCACUUACGACUACGAGAAGCUGUUGUGGACUACUUCACGUGUUUUAAAAGUAUUAUCAGUAUGUGCGAGCAACAAACCAGCGAUCGUUGAAGCUGGUGGUAUGCAAGCACUCGCAAUGCACUUGGGUAACCCAAGCCAAAGACUUGUUCAAAACUGUCUCUGGACUCUGCGGAAUCUUUCGGACGCUGGUACUAAAGUUGAUGGCUUGGAAGGACUGCUCCAGAGUCUCGUACAAGUUCUCGCAUCCACCGACGUCAAUGUUGUCACCUGCGCUGCUGGAAUUCUUUCAAAUCUCACAUGUAACAAUCAGCGUAAUAAGAUCACAGUAUGUCAAGUCGGAGGUGUUGAAGCUCUGAUUCGCACAAUCGUAAAUGCUGGGGAUCGUGAGGAAAUAACAGAACCGGCGGUCUGUGCUUUGCGUCACUUGACAUCACGACACGUAGAGGCUGAAAUGGCACAGAAUUCCGUGCGCGUAAAUUACGGUAUACAGGUGAUAGUUAAAUUACUUCACCCUCCGUCACGCUGGCCCUUGGUUAAGGCUGUUAUUGGUUUGAUUCGCAAUCUGACUCUCUGUCAAGCUAAUCACGUGCCUUUACGUGAACACGGUGCUAUUCAUCAUCUCGUCAGGCAUCUAAUGCGAGCAUUCCAAGACACUGAACGACAACGAGCAUCUGUCACUGGCAUGGGAAGCCAGCAAGUUUAUGCAGAUGGAGUACGUAUGGAGGAAAUUGUCGAAGGAAUUGUCGGUACGCUCCACAUUCUCGCGCGAGAAUCUCACAAUAGAGCAAUCAUACGAUCUCAAAAUGUCAUUCCUAUCUUCGUACAGUUACUGUUUAAUGAGAUUGAAAAUAUUCAACGAGUCGCUGCGGGUGUGCUUUGUGAGCUGGCAGCCGACAAAGAGGGUGCCGAGAUGAUAGAACAAGAGGGUGCCACGGCACCGCUGACAGAAUUACUGCACUCGAGAAACGAGGCUGUCGCAACUUACGCUGCCGCUGUUUUAUUCCGUAUGAGCGAGGACAAACCCCAAGACUAUAAAAAACGUAUAUCAAUGGAGCUGACAAAUUCACUACGUGAAGAUACGAAUAUGUGGAAUAAUCCAGAUUUCGGAAUUAUGGGCCCAGAUUUACAGGACAUGCUCGGUACUGAACCAGGCUAUGAUGGUAUGUAUGGACAGGGACCCCCUAGUGUUCACAGCAGUCACGGCGGACGUGCUUAUCAGCCUCAAGCAUAAUCUAUGGAUUUAAUUUUAAGUAAUCAACUACCAUCAAAAUAACGCAGUAACUAGCAAGUUAUGACCAGAUUCCAAUAGACUCAAUGCAAGGAUUGGAAAUAGGGGGAUCAACUUACGGCGCAAUGGACGCGAUGGACGUCGGACAUGACCCGGAUCUGAGUUUUGACCACAUUGACGAACUUCCAGCGCCUCCACAA